rnacentral:tRNA from 1 species
GGGAUCAUAGCUCAGUCAGGUAGAGCGCCUUGCAAAAGGAAGACGUCGGUUCAAAUCCGCCUGAUUCUA